AGGACGUUGUUUUUCUGUUCCCUAGCUCUGAGAAGAAAGGACGUUGUUUCUCUGUUCCCUAGCUCUGAGAAGAAAGGACGUUGUUUUUCUGUUCCCUAGCUCAGAGGAAAGGACGUUGUUUUUCUGUUCCCUAGCUCAGAGGAAAGGACGUUGUUUUUCUGUUCCCUAGCUCAGAGGAAAGGACGUUGUUUUUCUGUUCCCUAGCUCUGAGAA
ensembl:lncRNA